rnacentral:lncRNA from 1 species
AGCUGGGUUCUGUUGUUGGCAACCAACAGAGUUGUUGUCUUUUCUCGCAUUCAUUAAAAUGCACAAGAAGAAAUUUCUAAUGGUGAGGGAGUACUUGCUUCAAAUUCAUACUUCAGUGAAAUAAACAACACCAUACAUAGGAAUGUGAAAGCAAAGUCAUCAUACACUGUUUGCUUCAUUGUAUGAGAAUCAAUGUUUGCAUGAUAAACUGCCCUAAUGGAAGAGGACUCUGAGUUACCUUUUUCGAGCAAAGCCACCUAGGUUACUCUGUUUUCCCCAGAGUGACCCUUCUGUUCUGCAAAUUUUCAGAUUGAAGGGAGUAGCAGUAGAGUAUCAGAAGUAUCAGAAGCAAAAAAGUAAAUGUAUGAUUUGCAAAGCAUAACAAAAUGAAAAAUAAGCUUCUGCAGUCAUGGAAGUUCAGAAUUGGAUAACAACUUAGAUUAUUUAUUCCAACCUCAUCGAAAAAGAGAUAAAGACAUGGAAUUCAGGAAAAGUGAAAUCUACUUAAAUGUACCAAUCACAGCAGAGUCUUUUGGAACUUAAACAUCUUGACUCUUCUGUUUAAAGCCUAAAUCAACCUGAGAGAAGAGAUGAAACAACUGAGGGCCAAAAAGUUUACAAAAUUUUCCAAGAUCAUACAGCUAAUUAACAACAUCUGGGCUCUUCUUGACUUUUGGAAUCCAAAAGGUGCUACCAGCAUCCCAAGGUGUCCAGCUUGUAGACAGCCUGUCGUGGGACUUCUCAACCUCCAUAAUUGUAUAACCUCAAAGUAAUGGGAGAAGAUACACAAGUGAUCAUUGCCAGGACUGAAGACUGUUCCUAGGACUACUAUUUGGAUCAACAGAAGCUGAAAAUGAGAAUAUCAAAGGCUGGGCAGAUAGUUUCACUCACGGGCAUUGAUCAGGAUGGCUGGAGGUCACCUGCUGCAAGAAGCACUGUGUUUUCUGUGCAGCUUAAUGAGAGGGAGCAUAUCAUUUCAGGACUCUCACAGGAUGCAGUGUUACUGAGAAUCUCAUGAGGCAAAUCCUAAAUGCCAGGAUAAAUUUGCAGAGAUAGAACUACUACUUUUUUUUUUUAAAUUUCCUUUUGUUAUGACUUGAACGUGUAAGGUCAUGCUUCGAGCCUGCUAUCCUAUAGCUCUCAAUUCUAAACUAGUUGCAAGUAUAUUGGACUUCUUGCCCUGACCCCUGUCCCUUUGAUAGGCCAGGUGAAUCCAAAUAUGCCCGAGUGCAUCUCACAGAAUACAUCUGAUUCUAGGAUGGGACUAGAGGUCUCCUGGUAUUUAGAACUGCAAAAUGAGGUAGCAAAAGCUCUAGUCAUAUGCCUCCCAUUUAUUUGACAUAUCAUCACAAACAUGUCCAUAAUUUACCAAGGUUGAUCCACUGCCUACUACAUUUGUGUGUGAAAAUGUGUCAUGCUUUGUGGAAAAAGUGAAAAUAGUUAUCUGUAUGGUGGGUGCACUUUGAGUGACUGGGGUGGGGUAUGAGCACUGUCUUACAAAAAAGUCAAGAGUAAUAUCUGACAAAGAUACUGUCCUUUACCCUGGAUACCAACAGAUGUUCUUGUUUUCAUUCAAAAUUACAAUUAUCAUUGAAGUGCACAGUGGCUUUUAAUUGAGACAGAUAAAACGUAACUUCAAGUAUUGAAGUAAUUUUUUUUUACUGUUUUUAAGACAACUGAAGAUCUGAGCAAUUCUUGGCAUGACUUUUCUCCAUUCAGUUUAGAUUUUUGUGAUAAAAGGCGACUAUAAUAAAGAGAAUGGUAAAGGAAAAUAUCUAACAUGGAAUUUAUAUCUAAUCUUCUUGAAAGUUAUGAACACUUGUUAAUCCUUAAUUUCAACUCUUGAGAUUUCAUCUGAUUUGAGAUAUUCCUUUGAACAUUCAGAGUAUAAAAUGUUUCAUAUGUGGUGAAGGAAUCCUAAUUUUCCUAUUAUACUAUAAGAAUGAAACAGGUGGCAAAUAAAUUAAACAACGGUAUGCAAUCUAUUAUUCAGUAGGUUCAGUUAAACCACCCUAUUCUCUAAAGGUCAUGCCUUCCUUGUGAAAUAUGUUGAAUUAAAGCUUUCCUUACCAACUGAGGCACAACCUAAGAAGAGUUAAUUUACAAUUUUUAUCCUGGGUUUCAAGGAACUUACAUAUGAUUUGUCAAUUUAUAAGAAGAAAACAAAUUCCCUGAAAUACACUUCCUUUUUAACUAACAAAAUUAAAUCAUAGGCAUAAUUUUGUAGCAAAAUCAUCAAAUCUUACAAAUAUAUUCUACAUCAUGGACGUCAUCUUCUCUUUAUAAUGACUCUAAUGCUGAUGGACAUUCAGUGUUCUUAAAACUUCCUUACACAUAAAAAUAAACAACAAUAAGAAAGAUACUCAUCUAUUCCUCUCAAAUAGCUGCUUCAGAACUUCUAGGAAGCUUGGAAACAUGAAAAAAUCUUUCCAACUUAAAAGAAAGCAAACUCUCCCACAUUUAUUUCCUUUUGGGCCAGUUUUAGGCAAAGCGAUGCUCUUUAAUCCUUGGAGCAUCUGGUGUCAACCUAAAUUAAUUUUUAUCUUACCUGAGUUUUGAAAGGAAUAGUUUACCUAAAUGAUUAAGAAAUAUGCUCUCAUAUGGCCAUAUAUUCCUUACAUAGGAAAAUGAUGGGGUCUAAAAAUUAUGACACACACACACACUCCCCACUACACACACACACACACACUCCCCCCUACACACACACACACACACACACACACACAUCCUGAUCAUCAGUGCAAAACCGUCCAGCCAAAAGGAGUUCAAUUUUAAGAGAAACUGAAGUUUGGUAGACUAUAUCAUUAUAAAUCCAGAAACAUUCUAUUUUGUAAACAUUGAGAAAAAAUUUAUAAGAUCAUCA